UACAGAGGGGGCAAGCGUUGUUCGGAAUUACUGGGCGUAAAGGGCGCGUAGGCGGCCUGUUAAGUCGAACGUGAAAUCCCCGGGCUCAACCCGGGAACUGCGUCCGAAACUGGCAGGCUCGAAUUCGGGAGAGGGAUGCGAAUUCCAGGUGUAGCGGUGAAAAUGCGUAGAUAUCUGGAGGAACAUCGGUGGCGAAGGCGGCAUCCUGGGACCCGAUAUU
rnacentral:rRNA from 1 species